rnacentral:rRNA from 1 species
GACGAACGCUGGCGGCGUGCUUAACACAUGCAAGUCGAACGGAAAGGCCCUGCUUUUGUGGGGUGCUCGAGUGGCGAACGGGUGAGUAACACGUGAGUAACCUGCCCUUGACUUUGGGAUAACUUCAGGAAACUGGGGCUAAUACCGGAUAGGAGCUCCUGCUGCAUGGUGGGGGUUGGAAAGUUUCGGCGGUUGGGGAUGGACUCGCGGCUUAUCAGCUUGUUGGUGGGGUAGUGGCUUACCAAGGCUUUGACGGGUAGCCGGCCUGAGAGGGUGACCGGCCACAUUGGGACUGAUGUGCGGCCCGGGCUCCUACGGGAGGCAGCAGUGGUGAAGAUUGCAGGAUGGGCGGAGGCCUGAUGCAGCAACGCCGCGGGCGGGAUGACGGCGUUCGGGUGGUAAACCGCUUUCGCCUGUAACGAAGCGUGAGUGACGGUAAUGGGUAAAGAAGCACCGGCUAACUACGUG